UACGGGGGGGCAAGCGUUGUUCGGAAUUACUGGGCGUAAAGGGCGCGUAGGCGGCAAUUCAAGUCAGUUGUGAAAUCUCCGAGCUUAACUCGGAACGGUCAACUGAUACUAUUUUGCUAGAGUACAGAAGGGGCAAUCGGAAUUCUUGGUGUAGCGGUGAAAUGCGUAGAUAUCAAGAGGAACACCUGAGGUGAAGACGGGUUGCUGGGCUGAUACUGACGCUGAGGCGCGAAAGCUAGGGUAGCAAACGGG
rnacentral:rRNA from 1 species